AUGAACGCUAGCUACAGGCUUAACACAUGCAAGUCGAGGGGCAGCAUGGUCUUAGCUUGCUAAGGCCGAUGGCGACCGGCGCACGGGUGAGUAACACGUAUCCAACCUGCCGUCUACUCUUGGACAGCCUUCUGAAAGGAAGAUUAAUACAAGAUGGCAUCAUGAGUCCGCAUGUUCACAUGAUUAAAGGUAUUCCGGUAGACGAUGGGGAUGCGUUCCAUUAGAUAGUAGGCGGGGUAACGGCCCACCUAGUCUUCGAUGGAUAGGGGUUCUGAGAGGAAGGUCCCCCACAUUGGAACUGAGACACGGUCCAAACUCCUACGGGAGGCAGCAGUGAGGAAUAUUGGUCAAUGGGCGAGAGCCUGAACCAGCCAAGUAGCGUGAAGGAUGACUGCCCUAUGGGUUGUAAACUUCUUUUAUAAAGGAAUAAAGUCGGGUAUGCAUACCCGUUUGCAUGUACUUUAUGAAUAAGGAUCGGCUAACUCCGUGCCAGCAGCCGCGGUAAUACGGAGGAUCCGAGCGUUAUCCGGAUUUAUUGGGUUUAAAGGGAGCGUAGAUGGAUGUUUAAGUCAGUUGUGAAAGUUUGCGGCUCAACCGUAAAAUUGCAGUUGAUACUGGAUAUCUUGAGUGCAGUUGAGGCAGGCGGAAUUCGUGGUGUAGCGGUGAAAUGCUUAGAUAUCACGAAGAACUCCGAUUGCGAAGGCAGCCUGCUAAGCUGCAACUGACAUUGAGGCUCGAAAGUGUGGGUAUCAAACAGGAUUAGAUACCCUGGUAGUCCACACGGUAAACGAUGAAUACUCGCUGUUUGCGAUAUACAGCAAGCGGCCAAGCGAAAGCGUUAAGUAUUCCACCUGGGGAGUACGCCGGCAACGGUGAAACUCAAAGGAAUUGACGGGGGCCCGCACAAGCGGAGGAACAUGUGGUUUAAUUCGAUGAUACGCGAGGAACCUUACCCGGGCUUAAAUUGCAGAUGAAUUACGGUGAAAGCCGUAAGCCGCAAGGCAUCUGUGAAGGUGCUGCAUGGUUGUCGUCAGCUCGUGCCGUGAGGUGUCGGCUUAAGUGCCAUAACGAGCGCAACCCUUGUUGUCAGUUACUAACAGGUCAUGCUGAGGACUCUGACAAGACUGCCAUCGUAAGAUGUGAGGAAGGUGGGGAUGACGUCAAAUCAGCACGGCCCUUACGUCCGGGGCUACACACGUGUUACAAUGGGGGGUACAGAGGGCCGCUACCACGCGAGUGGAUGCCAAUCCCCAAAACCUCUCUCAGUUCGGACUGGAGUCUGCAACCCGACUCCACGAAGCUGGAUUCGCUAGUAAUCGCGCAUCAGCCACGGCGCGGUGAAUACGUUCCCGGGCCUUGUACACACCGCCCGUCAAGCCAUGGGAGCCGGGGGUGCCUGAAGUGCGUAACCGCGAGGAGCGCCCUAGGGUAAAACUGGUGACUGGGGCU
rnacentral:rRNA from 1 species